GACGUAGGGCGCGAGCGUUGUCCGGAUUUAUUGGGCGUAAAGAGCUCGUAGGCGGCUUGUCGCGUCGACCGUGAAAACUUGGGGCUCAACCCCAAGCCUGCGGUCGAUACGGGCAGGCUCGAGUUCGGUAGGGGAGACUGGAAUUCCUGGUGUAGCGGUGAAAUGCGCAGAUAUCAGGAGGAACACCGGUGGCGAAGGCGGUUCUCUGGGAAUAUCCUGACGCUGAGGAGCGAAAGUGUGGGGAGCGAACAGG
rnacentral:rRNA from 1 species